rnacentral:rRNA from 1 species
GGAGGCAGCAGUAGGGAAUAUUGCGCAAUGGGGGAAACCCUGACGCAGCGACGCCGCGUGAGCGAUGAAGGCCUUCGGGUCGUAAAGCUCUGUCGUAUGGGAAUAAACAAAUGAAUGUACCAUGCAAGAAAGGAUCGGCUAACUUCGUGCCAGCAGCCGCGGUAAGACGAGGGAUCCUAGC